AAGUCGUAACAAGGUUUCCGUAGGUGAACCUGCGGAAGGAUCAUUAAUAACAGCGAGCAAUCGCUUUAUAUUAUACUAUAAACACCUGUGAACUCUUUUUGGCCUUCGGGCUGGAAAACCAUAUAAAACAUAACUGUCAAUGAAUGUAAAACUAUUAUAAACAAUAAUACAA
rnacentral:misc_RNA from 1 species